rnacentral:rRNA from 1 species
UACGUAGGUGGCAAGCGUUGUCCGGAUUUACUGGGCGUAAAGAGCGCGCAGGCGGUCGAUCAAGUCGCGUGUGAAAGCCCCCGGCUCAACUGGGGAGGGUCACGCGAUACUGAUCGACUCGAAGGCAGGAGAGGGUAGUGGAAUUCCCGGUGUAGUGGUGAAAUGCGUAGAUAUCAGGAGGAACACCGGUGGCGAAGGCGGAUCUCUGGGCCUUACCUGACGCUGAGGCGCGAAAGCUAGGGGAGCGAACAGG